rnacentral:rRNA from 1 species
UGGCGAGAAGGUCACACCCGUUCCCAUACCGAACACGGAAGUUAAGCUUCUCAGCGCCGAUGGUAGUUGGGACCUUGUCCCUGUGAGAGUAGGACGUUGCCAGGC